CAAAUCAUAACUUUUGAUAAGUUUUAUUAUUUACAUUAAUAAAAUAGCUGUUUAAUUCAGCUUGAUUUGA
rnacentral:tRNA from 1 species